rnacentral:misc_RNA from 1 species
GUAAUCUAACCCGUGUAACCAUCCAGUGCCUCGUGUAACUUUCUGUCAUCAAGGCUUGAAGUGGUAAAAGGAAUCUACACAGUACACAGGUCGUAUAAUCUGACCUGUGUAAACAUCAAAAGCCCGUGUAACAUUCUGUCUUCUAUGCAAAGAGGCCAAAACAGCUCCAGCAACGUACACGUCCCAAGCCAUAUAGUAACACACGGGCUGUGUACUAUGUUUUAGCCAAUUUCCAAAUCCGACUCCAACUCCUAUUUUGGCAUACCAAUUGGACUCCUAUUGCCCUUUGGGACUCUAAAACAUAACCUAGGACAUCUAAUAUAAAUAGUAGCGAGCAAAAAGCAUAGAAGGGGGAAUCUUGAAGAGAAACAUCUAUCUUUUAAGGAGAAAAGGGAAG